CUCUCCUAUAGGGCCAAACUAUCCCAGUAAUCCAAACAGACCUACAUUUUGUUUGAAAAUGGUCUGUGCUAGUCCUUCAGAAAUCAAUCUUGAAAGUUAGGAGAUAAUCAUCACUGCGCCUCCCCUCUUUCGGGUGCAGGAGGGCCUAGAGGAGCUAUUCCACGUUGAAGGUCAGGAAGGGCGGCAGUGAGGAGAUACCCUUCAUCCAAGAGGAGAGUAGAGAAUACCAGAUUUCACUGUAUGUAGACAGAUAAGUAAGCAUCUGGACCAAGCUGGCCAUCUACAAGCAGGUGAUGAAGAGAUGUCACCUACAAGUAAGAGAGCUAAAGCGGUAAGGGGCCCAUUCCUCUUCCUCUUCUCAGACAACUCAGUGCAGUGACUGACUGGUAUUUCCUUUACUCCAAGACAUUGUGAGCAACAAAUGGUGAUGAAUG
ensembl:lncRNA